AGCGAACGCUGGCGGCAGGCUUAACACAUGCAAGUCGAACGGGCAUCUUCGGAUGUCAGUGGCAGACGGGUGGGUAACACGUGGGAACGUACCCUUCGGUUCGGAAUAACUCAGGGAAACUUGAGCUAAUACCGGAUACGCCCUUUUGGGGAAAGGUUUACUGCCGAAGGAUCGGCCCGCGUCUGAUUAGCUUGUUGGUGGGGUAACGGCCUACCAAGGCGACGAUCAGUAGCUGGUCUGAGAGGAUGAUCAGCCACACUGGGACUGAGACACGGCCCAGACUCCUACGGGAGGCAGCAGUGGGGAAUAUUGGACAAUGGGCGCAAGCCUGAUCCAGCCAUGCCGCGUGAGUGAUGAAGGCCUUAGGGUUGUAAAGCUCUUUUGUCCGGGACGAUAAUGACGGUACCGGAAGAAUAAGCCCCGGCUAACUUCGUG
rnacentral:rRNA from 1 species